UUAAGCGACUAAGCGUACACGGUGGAUGCCCUGGCAGUCAGAGGCGAUGAAGGGCGUGCUAAUCUGCGAUAAGCGCCGGUAAGGUGAUAUGAACCGUUAUAACCGGCGAUACCCGAAUGGGGAAACCCAGUGUGACUCGUCACACUAUCAUUAACUGAAUCCAUAGGUUAAUGAGGCGAACCGGGGGAACUGAAACAUCUAAGUACCCCGAGGAAAAGAAAUCAACCGAGAUUCCCCCAGUAGCGGCGAGCGAACGGGGAGGAGCCCAGAGCCUGAAUCAGCAUGUGUGUUAGUGGAAGCGUCUGGAAAGGCGCGCGAUACAGGGUGACAGCCCCGUACACAAAAGCGCAUGUGCUGUGAGCUCGAUGAGUAGGGCGGGACACGUGGUAUCCUGUCUGAAUAUGGGGGGACCAUCCUCCAAGGCUAAAUACUCCUGACUGACCGAUAGUGAACCAGUACCGUGAGGGAAAGGCGAAAAGAACCCCGGCGAGGGGAGUGAAAAAGAACCUGAAACCGUGUACGUACAAGCAGUGGGAGCACAGGUUUACCUGUGUGACUGCGUACCUUUUGUAUAAUGGGUCAGCGACUUAUAUUCUGUAGCAAGGUUAACCGAAUAGGGGAGCCGGAGGGAAACCGAGUCUUAAUUGGGCGUUAAGUUGCAGGGUAUAGACCCGAAACCCGGUGAUCUAGCCAUGGGCAGGUUGAAGGUUGGGUAACACUAACUGGAGGACCGAACCGACUAAUGUUGAAAAAUUAGCGGAUGACCUGUGGCUGGGGGUGAAAGGCCAAUCAAACCGGGAGAUAGCUGGUUCUCCCCGAAAGCUAUUUAGGUAGCGCCUCGUGAAUUCAUCUCCGGGGGUAGAGCACUGUUUCGGCUAGGGGGCCAUCCCGGCUUACCAACCCGAUGCAAACUGCGAAUACCGGAGAAUGUUAUCACGGGAGACACACGGCGGGUGCUAACGUCCGUCGUGAAGAGGGAAACAACCCAGACCGCCAGCUAAGGUCCCAAAGUCAUGGUUAAGUGGGAAACGAUGUGGGAAGGCCCAGACAGCCAGGAUGUUGGCUUAGAAGCAGCCAUCAUUUAAAGAAAGCGUAAUAGCUCACUGGUCGAGUCGGCCUGCGCGGAAGAUGUAACGGGGCUAAACCAUGCACCGAAGCUGCGGCAGCGACACUGUGUGUUGUUGGGUAGGGGAGCGUUCUGUAAGCCUGUGAAGGUGUGUCGUGAGGCAUGCUGGAGGUAUCAGAAGUGCGAAUGCUGACAUAAGUAACGAUAAAGCGGGUGAAAAGCCCGCUCGCCGGAAGACCAAGGGUUCCUGUCCAACGUUAAUCGGGGCAGGGUGAGUCGACCCCUAAGGCGAGGCCGAAAGGCGUAGUCGAUGGGAAACAGGUUAAUAUUCCUGUACUUGGUGUUACUGCGAAGGGGGGACGGAGAAGGCUAUGUUGGCCGGGCGACGGUUGUCCCGGUUUAAGCGUGUAGGUGUGUGUUCCAGGUAAAUCCGGUUCACUUUAACACUGAGGCGUGAUGACGAGGCACUACGGUGCUGAAGCAACAAAUGCCCUGCUUCCAGGAAAAGCCUCUAAGCAUCAGGUAACAUCAAAUCGUACCCCAAACCGACACAGGUGGUCAGGUAGAGAAUACCAAGGCGCUUGAGAGAACUCGGGUGAAGGAACUAGGCAAAAUGGUGCCGUAACUUCGGGAGAAGGCACGCUGACACGUAGGUGAAGUGAUUUACUCAUGGAGCUGAAGUCAGUCGAAGAUACCAGCUGGCUGCAACUGUUUAUUAAAAACACAGCACUGUGCAAACACGAAAGUGGACGUAUACGGUGUGACGCCUGCCCGGUGCCGGAAGGUUAAUUGAUGGGGUCAGCGCAAGCGAAGCUCCUGAUCGAAGCCCCGGUAAACGGCGGCCGUAACUAUAACGGUCCUAAGGUAGCGAAAUUCCUUGUCGGGUAAGUUCCGACCUGCACGAAUGGCGUAAUGAUGGCCAGGCUGUCUCCACCCGAGACUCAGUGAAAUUGAACUCGCUGUGAAGAUGCAGUGUACCCGCGGCAAGACGGAAAGACCCCGUGAACCUUUACUAUAGCUUGACACUGAACAUUGAGCCUUGAUGUGUAGGAUAGGUGGGAGGCUUUGAAGCGUGGACGCCAGUCUGCGUGGAGCCGACCUUGAAAUACCACCCUUUAAUGUUUGAUGUUCUAACGUGGACCCGUAAUCCGGGUUGCGGACAGUGUCUGGUGGGUAGUUUGACUGGGGCGGUCUCCUCCUAAAGAGUAACGGAGGAGCACGAAGGUUGGCUAAUCCUGGUCGGACAUCAGGAGGUUAGUGCAAUGGCAUAAGCCAGCUUGACUGCGAGCGUGACGGCGCGAGCAGGUGCGAAAGCAGGUCAUAGUGAUCCGGUGGUUCUGAAUGGAAGGGCCAUCGCUCAACGGAUAAAAGGUACUCCGGGGAUAACAGGCUGAUACCGCCCAAGAGUUCAUAUCGACGGCGGUGUUUGGCACCUCGAUGUCGGCUCAUCACAUCCUGGGGCUGAAGUAGGUCCCAAGGGUAUGGCUGUUCGCCAUUUAAAGUGGUACGCGAGCUGGGUUUAGAACGUCGUGAGACAGUUCGGUCCCUAUCUGCCGUGGGCGCUGGAGAACUGAGGGGGGCUGCUCCUAGUACGAGAGGACCGGAGUGGACGCAUCACUGGUGUUCGGGUUGUCAUGCCAAUGGCACUGCCCGGUAGCUAAAUGCGGAAGAGAUAAGUGCUGAAAGCAUCUAAGCACGAAACUUGCCCCGAGAUGAGUUCUCCCUGAGACUUAGAGUCUCCUGAAGGAACGUUGAAGACGACGACGUUGAUAGGCCGGGUGUGUAAGCGCAGCGAUGCGUUGAGCUAACCGGUACUAAUGAACCGUGAGGCUUAACC
rnacentral:rRNA from 1 species